CCUACGGGUGGCAGCAGUGGGGAAUAUUGCACAAUGGGGGAAACCCUGAUGCAGCAACGCCGCGUGAGUGAAGAAGUAUUUCGGUAUGUAAAGCUCUAUCAGCAGGGAAGAAAAUGACAGUACCUGACUAAGAAGCCCCGGCUAACUACGUGCCAGCAGCCGCGGUAAUACGUAGGGGGCAAGCGUUAUCCGGAUUUACUGGGUGUAAAGGGAGCGUAGACGGCUGCGCAAGUCAGAGGUGAAAGCCCGGGCUCAACCGCGGGACUGCUUUUGAAACUGUGUUGCUAGAGUGCAGGAGAGGUAAGUGGAAUUCCUAGUGUAGCGGUGAAAUGCGUAGAUAUUAGGAGGAACACCGGUGGCGAAGGCGGCUUACUGGACUGUAACUGACGUUGAGGCUCGAAAGCGUGGGGAGCAAACAGGAUUAGAUACCCUUGUAGUC
rnacentral:rRNA from 1 species